UGCAAGUCGACGAACUUCCGUUAAUUGAUUAUGACGUACUUGUACUGAUUGAGAUUUUAACACGAAGUGAGUGGCGAACGGGUGAGUAACACGUGGGUAACCUGCCCAGAAGUAGGGGAUAACACCUGGAAACAGAUGCUAAUACCGUAUAACAGAGAAAACCGCAUGGUUUUCUUUUAAAAGAUGGCUCUGCUAUCACUUCUGGAUGGACCCGCGGCGUAUUAGCUAGUUGGUGAGGUAAAGGCUCACCAAGGCAGUGAUACGUAGCCGACCUGAGAGGGUAAUCGGCCACAUUGGGACUGAGACACGGCCCAGACUCCUACGGGAGGCAGCAGUAGGGAAUCUUCCACAAUGGACGAAAGUCUGAUGGAGCAACGCCGCGUGAGUGAAGAAGGGUUUCGGCUCGUAAAGCUCUGUUGUUAAAGAAGAACGUGGGUAAGAGUAACUGUUUACCCAGUGACGGUAUUUAACCAGAAAGCCACGGCUAACUACGUGCCAGCAGCCGCGGUAAUACGUAGGUGGCAAGCGUUAUCCGGAUUUAUUGGGCGUAAAGCGAGCGCAGGCGGUCUUUUAAGUCUAAUGUGAAAGCCUUCGGCUCAACCGAAGAAGUGCAUUGGAAACUGGGAGACUUGAGUGCAGAAGAGGACAGUGGAACUCCAUGUGUAGCGGUGAAAUGCGUAGAUAUAUGGAAGAACACCAGUGGCGAAGGCGGCUGUCUGGUCUGCAACUGACGCUGAGGCUCGAAAGC
rnacentral:rRNA from 1 species